UGGGGUACUCCAUUAGAAUGUCGUUUGCUUGUUACGUUAUUGUAUAGUGUCACAUUUUUAUUUUUACUUAUAUAUUUUUUUAUUUCCUUCUUAUUUUCAGAUAACAUCUAAUUCUAACGAAUUAAAAAAUAUUCACAGCAGAACAUCUCUGUCGAUCACAUUCCUGGCAUGACAUCGUCCGUCUGAUUGAUCUCUGUAUGACCUGACUCACCGUUUAUUACGUAACUUCCACACCGGGUCAUCUUCACGGAAAAGACGAUCUCGUCAUCCAAAUAUGUCUCUUACAUAUUAUUAUAUUAACAUAAUUUCGUUUCCUCUUGUCUUUUUAUUAAUUGAAUAAAUUAAUCUAAUUCAUUAAAGCAUACUCU
rnacentral:lncRNA from 1 species